UACGUAGGUGGCGAGCGUUGUCCGGAUUUACUGGGCGUAAAGAGCGCGCAGGCGGUCGUACAAGUCGCGUGUGAAAGCCCCCGGCUCAACUGGGGAGGGUCACGCGAUACUGUUCGACUCGAAGGCAGGAGAGGGUAGUGGAAUUCCCGGUGUAGUGGUGAAAUGCGUAGAUAUCGGAAAGAACACCUGUGGCGAAAGCGGCUCACUGGACCACAACUGACGCUGAGGCGCGAAAGCUAGGGGAGCAAACAGG
rnacentral:rRNA from 1 species